AAGGGAGCGCAGGCGGGAAGGCAAGUUGGAAGUGAAAUCCAUGGGCUCAACCCAUGAAUUGCUUUCAAAACUGUUUUUCUUGAGUAGUGCAGAGGUAGGCGGAAUUCCCGGUGUAGCGGUGGAAUGCGUAGAUAUCGGGAGGAACACCAGUGGCGAAGGCGGCCUACUGGGCACCAACUGACGCUGAGGCUCGAAAGUGUGGGUAGCAAACAGGAUUAGAUACCCUGGUAGUCCACACUGUAAACGAUGAUUACUAGGUGUUGGAGGAUUGACCCCUUCAGUGCCGCAGUUAACACAAUAAGUAAUCCACCUGGGGAGUACGACCGCAAGGUUGAAACUCAAAGGAAUUGACGGGGGCCCGCACAAGCAGUGGAGUAUGUGGUUUAAUUCGAAGCAACGCGAAGAACCUUACCUGAUCUUGACAUCCCGAUGACCGCUUCGUAAUGGAAGUUUUUCUUCGGAACAUCGGUGACAGGUGGUGCAUGGUUGUCGUCAGCUCGUGUCGUGAGAUGUUGGGUUAAGUCCCGCAACGAGCGCAACCCUUAUCUUCAGUAGCCAGCAUUAAGGAUGGGCACUCUGGAGAGACUGCCAGGGAUAACCUGGAGGAAGGUGGGGAUGACGUCAAAUCAUCAUGCCCUUUAUGACCUGGGCUACACACGUACUACAAUGGCGUUUAACAAAGAGAAGCAAGACCGCGAGGUGGAGCAAAACUCAAAAACAACGUCUCAGUUCAGAUUGCAGGCUGCAACUCGCCUGCAUGAAGUCGGAAUUGCUAGUAAUCGCAGAUCAGCAUGCCGCGGUGAAUACGUUCCCGGGCCUUGCACACACCGCCCGUCAA
rnacentral:rRNA from 1 species